CAGUACGGCAUCCAUAUACAUGCAGUCGAGCGAACAGACGAGGAGCUUGCUCCUCUGACGUUAGCGGCGGACGGGUGAGUAACACGUGGAUAACCUACCUAUAAGACUGGGAUAACUUCGGGAAACCGGAGCUAAUACCGGAUAAUAUAUUGAACCGCAUGGUUCAAUAGUGAAAGACGGUUUUGCUGUCACUUAUAGAUGGAUCCGCGCCGCAUUAGCUAGUUGGUAAGGUAACGGCUUACCAAGGCAACGAUGCGUAGCCGACCUGAGAGGGUGAUCGGCCACACUGGAACUGAGACACGGUCCAGACUCCUACGGGAGGCAGCAGUAGGGAAUCUUCCGCAAUGGGCGAAAGCCUGACGGAGCAACGCCGCGUGAGUGAUGAAGGUCUUCGGAUCGUAAAACUCUGUUAUUAGGGAAGAACAAAUGUGUAAGUAACUAUGCACGUCUUGACGGUACCUAAUCAGAAAGCCACGGCUAACUACGUGCCAGCAGCCGCGGUAAUACGUAGGUGGCAAGCGUUAUCCGGAAUUAUUGGGCGUAAAGCGCGCGUAGGCGGUUUUUUAAGUCUGAUGUGAAAGCCCACGGCUCAACCGUGGAGGGUCAUUGGAAACUGGAAAACUUGAGUGCAGAAGAGGAAAGUGGAAUUCCAUGUGUAGCGGUGAAAUGCGCAGAGAUAUGGAGGAACACCAGUGGCGAAGGCGACUUUCUGGGUCUUGUAACUGACGCUGAUGUGCGAAAGCGUGGGGAUCAAACAGGAUUAGAUACCCUGGUAGUCCACGCCGUUAAACGAUGAGUGCUAAGUGUUAGGGGGUUUCCGCCCCUUUAGUGCUGCACCUAACGUUUUAAGAUCUCCGCCUGGGCACUACGAUCGCAGGGUGGAAUCUCAAAGGAAUUGAACGAGACCCCUCCCAAGCGGCUGUAGCCCGUGAUUUAAUUCGAAACGACUGG
rnacentral:rRNA from 1 species